UUUUUUUUAAAGAAAAAAACAAGUGCUGCCCCUCUUUUGCUCUGCUAGGGUUUCAACCCUAGCAUCCUUGCGCUGCCGUUCGCUUGGCCAGCGCUUCGACCGCGACGAAGAUGGCCACCAUUCGGCGUCGAAGGUAAGAUCCCCCUCUCUUUCUUUAUAUUUUUUUGUAUAUAAAGUAAAAACAAAUCGAAGAACACCAAAAAAUAAAGAUAAAAUCUGAAACGAAAUCGGAGAAUCACCUAGAUGAUGUAUUCUUUUCUCUUUUUUGAAUCGUUUUUUUUGAAUUUUGUAUUCAAUUUCUUUCCGUAUCUCUGUGUGUCCCUUACAAAACGAUAAAAAUGGCCUUAUAUAGCCGAAUCAAAAGAAAAUAAAUCAAAAUUACAUCUCUUUUUCUCUGUCCUCUUUUCUAUUUUCUUUUUGUUGCUCUCUUUUUUGUUUCUUUCUUCGUUUUCCUCUCUGCUAUUCUCCUUUUCUCUGUCUAGUGCUGUUGUUCGUUUUGCAGGUACGAAGGCUGUACGAGCUGGGGACGUGGCGCAACGCGUGGAGGCGUGGUACGGUUGCUGCGGCGCUGGGAAUUGUUUGGUGCUCUAGGGUUUCUGAUGCCCCAAGUUUAGGCUAGUUUGGACUUCUGAUUUGGGCCUGUAAUGGGUUGGACAGUGGGGAGUUUAGGUUAAAACGGGUUGGGCCCCGAUAGGCCUUAUGUAUUUGGACAUUUACUUAUUAAUAUUUUUGGUUUGUAUUAUUUAUUGGGCCGGGCAAUAUUAGGGUAUUACAAGGAAAAUCAAAGAUGUGCAACUUCCACCAUUGUUAUUAAAUUGAUUCAU
rnacentral:lncRNA from 1 species